UCCAAGAUCCAACCAUUUCCAAUUCCCCAAAUGAAACUGGCGAAGCUCGUCGAUCAUCUCCCUGCCAUCGCAGCUUCGAGACAGCACAAAAACGACCGGAAGUAGCAAACCUCACCUGCACGAUUCGAUUUCCACUUGAGCGCAGUAGUCCUGGAAAAUAGCCACGUUCUUUUCUUGCGCGGCAGAGGUACAUGGGUACAGCUUCAUCGCUUCCACGUCGGGCGUUGAUCUAGGGCACUCGCCGCCUCCAUAACCGCUAUUGAUGCCAAGGAUGGCGAGGCAUUACAGGACGAGCAGGGCUUUGAGGUCUUGAGAAGGGUAAGGUACUGCAAACACUGCCAGAAGCAUGUUGCAAGCUUCAACCACCAUUGCCUUGCUUUUGAGAAUUGUAUAGACUGUUAUGGAUCGUCUACAAUGGUGAAUGAUCGCAUCAGGUAGAAAUUUUCAAGAGAAGAAAUAUCAAAACUUGUCUCGGACUCUCGUACAGAAAUAUUCUCACGGUUAUUCAUGAUGGGAAGAGCUUAUCUUGUUUUUUGAAGUCUCAAGCUUGUUGGCCAACACACAAUCCGAAGGAUGAACUCUCCAACUAUGAUGAUUAUUGUCGCUUGAGGUCUAAAAGAGUUUGGUAUCUUAAAGGCUUCCCAAUGCAUGUAUUCAAAUGGUGAUUCCAGAGCAUGAGAAAGAUUCGGGGAGAAGUAAAGAGCCAGAAGAUCUUCGCCAUUUUAUUAAUGCAAAGAAAAAUACCAACCACCUUCAUUAUUCAAAGCCUUGGACGUCAUCAUCUCCUCCCUCUCUUCUCAUCAUCACCCUACUGUGAGGUUUCGCAGACAGAAACAUCCUGUUAUUUUGGAAUGCUCAAAUGUGGAAUCGGAGAACUCAGAAUCUGAGUCUUCUUCUCAGGAAAAUCACUCGGACUCAUAUUAUUUGGGAUAUUCAAAUCUUUUUCCAAUUCAAUUCUUGAUGAAAGUUGUCUUCCCUUUCUGAUGGCUCCCUCGGUCUCAAAGCCUCUUCCUUCAACUCGGAACUGCUGUAUUGCA